rnacentral:rRNA from 1 species
UACGUAGGGGGCAAGCGUUGUCCGGAUUUAUUGGGCGUAAAGAGCGUGUAGGCGGCCAGACAGGUCAGCUGUGAAACUCGAGGCUCAACCUCGAGACGUCGGUUGAAACCGUCUGGCUAGAGUCCGGAAGAGGAGAGUGGAAUUCCCGGUGUAGCGGUGAAAUGCGCAGAUAUCGGGAAGAACACCCGUGGCGAAGGCGGCUCUCUGGGACGGUACUGACGCUGAGACGCGAAAGCGUGGGGAGCGAACAGG